rnacentral:rRNA from 1 species
AAGGAGGAGCUUGCUUCUCUGUGAUGAGUUGCGAACGGGUGAGUAACGCGUAGGUAACCUGCCUGGUAGCGGGGGAUAACUAUUGGAAACGAUAGCUAAUACCGCAUAAUAGUAGAUGUUGCAUGACAUUUGCUUAAAAGGUGCAAUUGCAUCACUACCAGAUGGACCUGCGUUGUAUUAGCUAGUUGGUGAGGUAACGGCUCACCAAGGCAACGAUACAUAGCCGACCUGAGAGGGUGAUCGGCCACACUGGGACUGAGACACGGCCCAGACUCCUACGGGAGGCAGCAGUAGGGAAUCUUCGGCAAUGGACGGAAGUCUGACCGAGCAACGCCGCGUGAGUGAAGAAGGUUUUCGGAUCGUAAAGCUCUGUUGUAAGAGAAGAACGAGUGUGAGAGUGGAAAGUUCACACUGUGACGGUAUCUUACCAGAAAGGGACGGCUAACUACGUGCCAGCAGCCGCGGUAAUACGUAGGUCCCGAGCGUUGUCCGGAUUUAUUGGGCGUAAAGCGAGCGCAGGCGGUUAGAUAAGUCUGAAGUUAAAGGCUGUGGCUUAACCAUAGUACGCUUUGGAAACUGUUUAACUUGAGUGCAAGAGGGGAGAGUGGAAUUCCAUGUGUAGCGGUGAAAUGCGUAGAUAUAUGGAGGA